rnacentral:tRNA from 1 species
GGGACUGUGGCUCAGUGGCAGAGCGCUCACCUGGCAUGCAUGAGGCACUGGGUUCAAUCCCCAGCACCA